rnacentral:misc_RNA from 1 species
GGGACUACCGGGGUUUCUAAUCCUGUUCGCUCCCCAUGCUUUCGCUCCUCAGCGUCAGUCACGGCCCAGAGCGGCGCCUUCGCCACUGGUGUUCCUCCUGAUAUCUGCGCAUUUCACCGCUACACCAGGAAUUCCCCGCUCCCCUACCGCACUCGAGUCACAGCAGUAUCGGGUGGCGGCUCUGGGUUGAGCCCAGAGUUUUCACACCCGACUUACCGAACCGCCUACGAGCUCUUUACGCCCAAUAAAUCCGGACAACGCUUGGUGCCUACGUGUUACCGCGGCGGCUGGCACC